UGAGGAAUAUUGCGCAAUGGGGGAAACCCUGACGCAGCGACGCCGUGUGAGCGAUGAAGGCCUUCGGGUCGUAAAGCUCUGUCAGAGGGGAAGAAAGGGGAUAUGGUUAAUACCCAUGUCCAUUGACGGUACCCUUUGAGGAAGCACCGGCUAACUCCGUGCCAGCAGCCGCGGUAAUACGGAGGGUGCGAGUGUUAUUCGGAAUCACUGGGCGUAAAGAGCACGUAGGCGGAUCGGUAAGUCAGAUGUGAAAUCCCGGAGCUCAACUCCGGAACUGCAUUUGAUACUGCCAGUCUUGAGUGAGGUAGAGGGGGGUGGAAUUCCCGGUGUAGAGGUGAAAUUCGUAGAUAUCAGGAAGAACACCUGCAGCGAAGGCGGCGCUCUGGGCUGGAACUGACGCUGAGGAGCGAAAGCGUGGGUAGCAAACAGG
rnacentral:rRNA from 1 species